GAGUCGAGCGGACAGAAGGGAGCUUGCUCCCGGAUGUUAGCGGCGGACGGGUGAGUAACACGUGGGUAACCUGCCUGUAAGACUGGGAUAACUCCGGGAAACCGGAGCUAAUACCGGAUAGUUCCUUGAACCGCAUGGUUCAAGGAUGAAAGACGGUUUCGGCUGUCACUUACAGAUGGACCCGCGGCGCAUUAGCUAGUUGGUGGGGUAAUGGCUCACCAAGGCGACGAUGCGUAGCCGACCUGAGAGGGUGAUCGGCCACACUGGGACUGAGACACGGCCCAGACUCCUACGGGAGGCAGCAGUAGGGAAUCUUCCGCAAUGGACGAAAGUCUGACGGAGCAACGCCGCGUGAGUGAUGAAGGUUUUCGGAUCGUAAAGCUCUGUUGUUAGGGAAGAACAAGUGCGAGAGUAACUGCUCGCACCUUGACGGUACCUAACCAGAAAGCCACGGCUAACUACGUGCCAGCAGCCGCGGUAAUACGUAGGUGGCAAGCGUUGUCCGGAAUUAUUGGGCGUAAAGGGCUCGCAGGCGGUUUCUUAAGUCUGAUGUGAAAGCCCCCGGCUCAACCGGGGAGGGUCAUUGGAAACUGGGAAACUUGAGUGCAGAAGAGGAGAGUGGAAUUCCACGUGUAGCGGUGAAAUGCGUAGAGAUGUGGAGGAACACCAGUGGCGAAGGCGACUCUCUGGUCUGUAACUGACGCUGAGGAGCGAAAGCG
rnacentral:rRNA from 1 species